rnacentral:rRNA from 1 species
UACGUAGGCAGCGAGCGUUGUUCGGAGUUACUGGGCGUAAAGCGUGCGUAGGCGGUGGUCCAAGUCUGGUGUGAAAAUCUCCCGGCUUAACUGGGAGGGUGCGCCGGGAAACUGGGCCGCUGGAGUACGGGAGAGGCAAGCGGAAUUCCUGGUGUAGCGGUGAAAUGCGUAGAGUAUCAGGAGGAACACCCGUGGUGCAGACGGCUUGCUGGACCGUGACUGACGCUGAGGCACGAAAGCGUGGGUAGCAAACAGG